CCUACGGGAGGCAGCAGUGGGGAAUAUUGGGCAAUGGGCGCAAGCCUGACCCAGCAACGCCGCGUGAAGGAAGAAGGCUUUCGGGUUGUAAACUUCUUUUGUCAGGGAGGAGUAGAAGACGGUACCUGACGAAUAAGCCACGGCUAACUACGUGCCAGCAGACGCGGUAAUACGUAGGUGGCAAGCGUUGUCCGGAUUUACUGGGUGUAAAGGGCGUGUAUCCGGGUUGACAAGUCAGAUGUGAAAUCCUGCGGCUUAACCGCAGAACUGCAUUUGAAACUGGUGAUCUUGAGUACUGGAGAGGCAGAUGGAAGUCCUAGGGUAGCGGGGAAAUGGGGAGAUAAUAGGAGGAACAACAGGGGCGAAGGCGGUCUGCUGGACAGCAAAUGACGGUGAGGCGCGAAAGCGGGGGGAGCAAAAAGGAUUAGAUACCCUUGUAGUC
rnacentral:rRNA from 1 species